UGUAAGGACUGUCCUUAAUCUUUAAAGACCAAAAAUGCCUUGUUAGAGUGUUAAGGAGUUUUGACAUGCAGUGGUUCCACAAACACAGUGGCUUACUAUCCUUAUAUACUGUCUUACACCAUCAUUCUCUCCAUGUCUCUUGGUCACUACUCUCUGCUGUCACUGGUUAAUCACUAGGUACCAAGAGCUUACUGAAUAAAAGCUUGGCAGUCCCAACUCUCAGUACUU
rnacentral:lncRNA from 1 species